GAUGGUGAUAUUCUUCCCAUGAAAUUUGAAACCAAACCCAAGAAAUAAAUUACAUACUUUUGAAUUAUUCUGUUUUUGAAGAGUGUGGUUUUGUAUUUUCAGUAAAGUUAAGAAAACAUUAAAAUAUAUAUUUUAUUUUUUCUGAUUAUUCAAAGUAUUUUAAGAGAAAUAAUAAUAAAGAUGGUAUAAAAUUAAAAUAAUAAUAGAAUGGAAAUUUUCUUCUUUCCCAAGAUACCCAGUCUGCCUUCCUAGAAUAAUCACUGCUUAUCUUUUCAGAAGUUUUCUAAACAUUAAGGAGUACAUACAGAUGCAGACACACACACCUUUUCUUCUUUUAGCUUUCACUUAUCAAUAUAUUUUAUUCAAGUAUACUCAUCUUUUUACCAUUUAACAUUACUGACAUUGAGAUGUGUCUUAUAAUAGAUAGCAUGUUCCUCUCUUUGUAGUCCUGCCGUGAUAUCCAUUUCUUCUAUAGAGAUAUUUUCUUCUGUCAGUCACUUGGGCUCACUACCAACCUGUUACUACUUUAAAUUUAGUUCUCAAGGGGUUUUGGACCAAACUAAUGUUUUGCAUCAGACUGAAAAUCCACAUGAACUGGUUUGUGGUUUAAAUUCUAACGGAAUUUUUUUUCUUCCUUCUACCCAGUGUCUGGGUUGAAAUGCAGGUUUCCUCACUUAUACCUUUCUGUGUUGUGGGCUCGUUUGUCUUCACAUGUGUAUCUGUUUACUUUUAAAUUACAAUCUUGGGCAUUAUUUCCUUUAUUUGGUAGUAAUAAAUUAAAGUGCAUCUUACAUCUGAUGACAUCAUAGUCUUAAUAGAACAAGUGUAUCAUGGGAACCAUUUUGUUCUGGCACAUUGAAAUUACCUCAUACCAUUUAAUAGCUGCAUUAUUUCCAAUUGAAAAUAUGUACUAUUUUUUUUAUAUUCCUCUUUUUUGC
rnacentral:lncRNA from 1 species